CCUACGGGAGGCUGCAGUGGGGAAUAUUGGACAAUGGGGGCAACCCUGAUCCAGCCAUGCCGCGUGUGUGAAGAAGGCCCUCGGGUUGUAAAGCACUUUCAGUGAGGAAGAACGCCUGGUGGUUAAUACCCAUCAGGAAAGACAUCACUCACAGAAGAAGCACCGGCUAACUCCGUGCCAGCAGCCGCGGUAAUACGGAGGGUGCGAGCGUUAAUCGGAAUUACUGGGCGUAAAGCGCGCGUAGGUGGCUUGAUAAGCCGGUUGUGAAAGCCCCGGGCUCAACCUGGGAACGGCAUCCGGAACUGUCAAGCUAGAGUGCAGGAGAGGAAGGUGGAAUUCCCGGUGUAGCGGUGAAAUGCGUAGAGAUCGGGAGGAAUACCAGUGGCGAAGGCGGCCUUCUGGACUGACACUGACACUGAGGUGCGAAAGCGUGGGUAGCAAACAGGAUUAGAUACCCUGGUAGUC
rnacentral:rRNA from 1 species